AGACUUGUCGUCUGUUUUAAAUUGGACAGUCUAAUAAUCUUCUUGAAUUAGAUCGCAGGAUAAAAUCAGGGUCAUUCAACUUCAAUUUGUUUCCAUAUAAUUUAAUGAGGGAAACUUGGGCUUACUGGCUUAGGGUUGUGAAUUUUGAUGAUAAUUCAGUUGGUUGAUCCUGAACUUGGUGUUGCAACUAGGAUCUUGUGUUGACAUUCGAUUAACAGUAAAG
rnacentral:misc_RNA from 1 species